GGAGAGGUGGCUGAGUGGUCGAAAGCGGCGGUCUCGAAAACCGUUGUACGUUUGCGCGUACCUAGGGUUCGAAUCCCUACCUCUCCG
rnacentral:tRNA from 1 species